GUUACAUUAUACUGUAUUAGAACACAACUGUACUUUAGAACCAGAAGAGACUCCACUAUCAACAUGAGAAAUGAUGGUCAACUGUAUAGACACACAUAUGCUGGGAUUCAAUCCAAUACUGUAUAGACACACAUAUGCUGGGAUUCAAUCCAAUACUGUAUAGACACACAUAGGCUGGGAUUCAAUCCAAUACUGUAUAGACACACAUAGGCUGGGAUUCAAUCCAAUACUGUAUAGACACACAUAGGCUGGGAUUCAAUCCAAUACUGUACAGACACAUAGGCUGGGAUUCAAUCCAAUACUGUAUAGACACAUAGGCUGGGAUUCAAUCCAAUACUGUAUAGACACAUAGGCUGGGAUUCAAUCCAAUACUGUACAGACACAUAGGCUGGGAUUCAAUCCAAUACUGUAUAGACACAUAGGUUGGGAUACAAUCCAAUACUGUAUAGACAGACAGGCUGGGAUUCAAUCCAAUACUGUAUAGACAGACACACAGACUGGGAUUCAAUCCAAUACUGUACAGACAGACACAUAGGCUGGGAUUCAAUCCAAUACUGUAUAGACACACACAGGCUGGGAUUCAAACCAAUACUGUAUAGACAGACACACAGGCUGGGAUUCAAUCCAAUACUGUACAGACAGACACAUAGGCUGGGAUUCAAUCCAAUACUGUACAGACAGACACAUAGGCUGGGAUUCAAUCCAAUACUGUAUAGACACACACAGGCUGGGAUUUAAUCCAAUACUGUAUAGACACACAGACUGGGAUUCAAUCCAACACUGUACAGACAGACACAUAGGCUGGGAUUCAAUCCAUUACUGUAUAGACACACACUGGCUGGGAUUCAAUCCAAUACUGUAUAGACAGACACACAGGCUGGGAUUCAAUCCAAUACUGUACAGACAGACACAUAGGCUGGGAUUCAAUCCAAUACUGUACAGACAGACACACAGGCUGGGAUUCAAUCCAAUACUGUACAGACAGACACACAGGCUGGGAUUCAAUCCAAUACUGUACAGACAGACACACAGGCUGGGAUUCAAUCCAAUACUGUAUACACACACACAGGCUGGGAUUCAAUCCAAUACUGUAUAGACACACACAGGCUGGGAUUCAAUCCAAUACUGUAUAGACACACACAGGCUGGGAUUCGUAAGGUCGCUAGUUCAACUCCAGGAGCAGACAAGGUGAAGCAUUUGUCUGUGUGCCCUUGAGCAAGGCACUCAACCUCAAUUGCUCCAGGGAUGUCAUUGAUCAUGUCUGACCCUGUCUAAAGACCCCAGCUCUCUGUGGGUGUUGAUAAUGUCUGACCCUGUCUAAAGACCCCAGCUCUCUGUGGGUGUUGAUAAUGUCUGACCCUGUCUAAAGACCCCAGCUCUCUGUGGGUGUUGAUAAUGUCUGACCCUGUCUAAAGACCCCAGCUCUCUGUGGGUGUUGAUAAUGUCUGACCCUGUCUAAAGACUCCAGCUCUCUGUGGGUGUUGAUAAUGUCUGACCCUGUCUAAAGACCCCAGCUCUCUGUGGGUGUUGAUAAUGUCUGACCCUGUCUAAAGACCC
ensembl:lncRNA